rnacentral:rRNA from 1 species
CCUACGGGCGGCAGCAGUGGGGAAUAUUGGACAAUGGGGGGAACCCUGAUCCAGCCAUGCCGCGUGUGUGAAGAAGGCCCUCGGGUUGUAAAGCACUUUCAGUGAGGAAGAACGCCUGGUGGUUAAUACCCAUCAGGAAAGACAUCACUCACAGAAGAAGCACCGGCUAACUCCGUGCCAGCAGCCGCGGUAAUACGGAGGGUGCGAGCGUUAAUCGGAAUUACUGGGCGUAAAGCGCGCGUAGGUGGCUUGAUAAGCCGGUUGUGAAAGCCCCGGGCUCAACCUGGGAACGGCAUCCGGAACUGUCAAGCUAGAGUGCAGGAGAGGAAGGUAGAAUUCCCGGUGUAGCGGUGAAAUGCGUAGAGAUCGGGAGGAAUACCAGUGGCGAAGGCGGCCUUCUGGACUGACACUGCCACUGAGGUGCGAAAGCGUGGGUAGCAAACAGGAUUAGAUACCCCUGUAGUC